GACGAACGCUGGCGGCGUGCCUAAUACAUGCAAGUAGAACGCUGAAGGAGGAGCUUGCUUCUCUGGAUGAGUUGCGAACGGGUGAGUAACGCGUAGGUAACCUGCCUGGUAGCGGGGGAUAACUAUUGGAAACGAUAGCUAAUACCGCAUAAGAGUAGAUGUUGCAUGACAUUUGCUUAAAAGUUUCAAUUGCAUCACUACCAGAUGGACCUGCGUUGUAUUAGCUAGUUGGUGGGGUAACGGCUUACCAAGGCGACGAUCCAUAGCCGACCUGAGAGGGUGAUCGGCCACACUGGGACUGAGACACGGCACAGACUGCUACGGGAGGCAGCAGUAGGGAAUCGUCGGCAAUGGACGGAAGUUUGACCGAGAAACGCCGCGUGAGUGAAGAAGGUUUUCGGAUCGUAAAGCUCUGUUGUAAGAGAAGAACGAGUGUGAGAGUGGAAAGUUCACAGUGUGACGGUAUCGUACCAGAAAGGGACGGCUAACUACGUG
rnacentral:rRNA from 1 species